ACAGGAUUUUUAUCUGUGGUAGCUUCAUCUCAGCAUCUAGAACAGGACCUGGCACAUCAAAGGAAGUCAAUACUUGUUGAAUGAAUGAACAAUGGAAAAAAUUGUUGAACACAAAUGGACUAUAGCUUCUUCUGUUUUCUAAGAAGGAGGGGUGAUGGCAACACAGUUUAUCCUUCCAAAGGAAGUACGGAAAAAAAGAUGGGAGGCAAAACUCUGCCACCCACAACAAAGUGCUUCAUUCACCUGGGCAUUGGAGUCUACACCUUGGAACAGCUGACACCACCAGCUAUUUCCCAACGUGCAGACUUGAAGCCCCCAAAGAGGAUAGGGCCUCCAGAAGCUCCACUUACGUCUGGACCUUGUGCUCCAAAGCAAACACAACCUAUCCGAUGGGUGGUGCAGAAAUAAGCUGAUGCAGCUUUCAUUGACCUUUCAGACUUGACCUUUCUCCUAUAAUCUCUAAUCUUGUUUUUAAUAAAUAUUUAACUUCUUG
rnacentral:lncRNA from 1 species